rnacentral:pre_miRNA from 1 species
CAUUGACCUCAUUUCUCCAGCACGACGUUUCAUAUUUCUGUAUAUAUAUAUAUGUGUAUAUAUAUAUAUACAUACUUAUAUACAGAAAUAUGAAACGUUGUGCUGGAGAAAUGAGGUCAAUG